rnacentral:rRNA from 1 species
CAAUAGCGUAUAUUAAAGUUGUUGCGGUUAAAAAGCUCGUAGUUGGAUUUCUACCGAAGAUAGCCGGUCGGGUCUUCGACCUUGUAUCUGGUUUUGUCUUUGGUAUCCUCAUAGGGAACGUUUCUGCGCUUUAUUGCGUGGUGCGGUAUCUAUGACUUUUACUUUGAGGAAAUUAGAGUGUUCACGGCAGGCAAACGCCUUGAAUAUAUUAGCAUGGAAUAAUAACAUAGGAUCUUCGUCCUAUUUUGUUGGUUUCUAGGGCUAAGAUGAUGAUUAAUAGGGAUAAUUGGGGGCAUCUGUAUCAACGCGUCAGAGGUGGAAUUCUUGGAUUGCGUUGCGACAAACUACUGCGAAAGCAUUUGCCAAGGAUGUUUUCAUUGA